CUUUUUUCUUUUUUUUAAAGGUGAUGAAUCUCAUCAGAGUUUCCUGCCUCUUCUUAUAGUUCAGAUUUCAAGGGGGGUUUUGAGCAGAGAGGAAAGGAAAUGGGACAACUCACAGAGCCCUAUUUUGUUAGGAUAAAGAUAUGUCUACAUAAAAAGCUUGCAUAAAAAGAAAAAAUGGGCCAGGGGAAGAGGAAACGGUUAUAAGAACAAACUUUAAAAUGAGGUCUCAGAAUGGAUUUUGGUAGGUGCCUGCAACUACCUGUUGUGACAUGAAAAGCGAAGUGACAACAAUAACUUAACUAUAGAAUGGAGGACAUGCAAAGCCAGGGAAUCCUUGUUUCGGAAUCACAAACAAGAAGCUGAAAUACAAACCAAAAGAUUACAGCAGCAGAGCAGAGAGCAGUGUGAAGCAGAGCUUGCUCAGGAACUUACCCAGGGACGGAAGGUAGAAAAAGAAAGAAUAGAAGGAAAGAAAAGGAAGAGAAGAAAUGUUACGGUUUCCCAGAGGGAAUGAUGAAGAUCAAGAUUUGAGAGGAGGGAGCAGGUCAGCAGAGGUAACAAAAUCUAUCACAUACACUCUGAUGGAGCCUAUGGCUGAUGAAGUGGUCUUGUGACUGAGCUGAUGGUAGCUGAUGACUGUUACCAUGUGUUUGCUCUGCAGAAUUCCUUCUUUGCUGGCAGAAAGCUGAACCACUUCUCCAAGAGGUCAGAUGAGAACCGAACCAGUGCGAGAAGAAAAGCUGGGAAGAGCAGGACUGCCCCUUUUGGCAUCAGCAAGCCCUUUGGUCACCUUGGAUCUCUCAUGGGAUCCACCACAAGGCUGUAGUUUGGCAAAUGAACCAGUUUAAAAAAAAAAAAAUUCUCAAGCAAUUUUCCUGCCCAUUUCACUGCAAGACUGAACAAAUAGUUGCAGCACAAAGGAGGAAGCAUCACAGCUGCUGACAUACCUGGGGUUUCUACUGACUGAGGGCAGUUGCAUGAUAUUUUUUCAUUAUUGCCACUUAGCUCUGCUGCUGUUGAUGUUUGUGGAACAAUUCCAGAAUAUCAGAGCAAAAGAAAGAAUUGAACAAUUUUUUACGCUUUCGACACUCAUCUGAUUUUUUUUCACCCAGUCAGUUUCGGUUAUCUGCAAUACCCCUGGGCCGCGGCGAACUGCAGCUUAGAGACAAGAAGUUCUUAAGCAGCUUUCUAACUGGAGAAAAUAAAUCAUCAAACUACAGACUAAACUAAACUAAAUUGACCAUUGUGUUUUUAACCAGACCUGAGAAAAUCUACUUAAAGUUAGUGUAUUCUGGUGCUACUGCAGAAAUACUCUCCCCAGACUCAGUAGAAAAUUCCCAGCUAAAUCUACUCCCAAAUAGUUGCCUACUCCUAGAACGUGCUGCAAAUCACUUUUUGGCUUUUACGAUUUUCCAUCCUCUUCUACCAAGCAUAUGGAUCAUAAUAAUGUAAAAAAGUAACUAGGGUAGUCAGAGUUUUGGAAGCUUUUGAGUAAAUUAGAGGAUUACAGUGUUUGACUCAUAUCCAAUCUAUGAGGACUUCUUUCCAGUAGCUAGGCCCUCAUCUACUUAAGCAGCCCUCUGCUGAAAGCACAUACUUGCAGAGGCCAGAAAAAGGUCCAUGCACCCUAAUGGUGCCCGUUGCUUCACCUUUCCUUGCAGCAGGGGUAGCACUGUUACUAACUGGCAGCCGAAACAGCUGAUGCUGGCGGAAAAGAGUUUGCAAACUUGACUAAAUGGGAUUUAACAAAUUGGAUUGAAUCAGGUGCAGCCAGCUGGGACUGAGGUGGCAUCCGAUGUGGCGGCCGCGUAACCGCACGGUGCGGAGCAGCGUGGGACACGAUGUGGCUGCGAGGCCGGGCAGAGUAGCUCCCCUAGCUGUCUGCUCCCAUACCUGGGCUGUUACUUGUGCACGGACUAUUUUGCAGAAUCACCAGGUGUCAUUGGAUCAUUGUCUAGCAUUUUAGGAGUGAUAUGAGGAAGCCUAGAGCAACUCCAGAAUAUCACAGAUGCAGGUGGGGUGUACUACUCCGUGGUGUUGACUGAGGUACCGGAGAGUUACCAUUUGGAGCGUUAAGCUGAACUGGGUUAAAGACUGAAUGAGCAACAUAUGCCUCUGGAAACGUUUAAAAAGAGCCAUCUUUUUCACAAGUUGUGUCCGUUGCCCCUUGCCCUGUCACCGUGAUCCCCCAAGAAGACUCUGG